GAGGAUAUUUGAGGGGAGCUGACCCUAGUACGAGAGGACCGGGUUGGACGAACCGCUGGUGCACCGGUUGGGAACCAAUCCCAUAGCCGGGUAGCCAAGUUCGGAAGGGAUAAACGCUGAAGGCAUCUAAGCGUGAAGCCCACCCCAAGAUGAGAUAUCCCGUUCUAAAAGAACAUAAGAUCCCUUAAAGAGUAUGAGGUAGAUAGGGCAGAGGUGGAAGUGCAGUAAUGUACGGAGCUGACUGUUACUAAUCGAUCGAAGGCUUUUCCAA
rnacentral:rRNA from 1 species